CCAUAACAUUUGUACAAGCCCAUACUUUCAUCAUCUUUCCUCCUCUGCACAUUUAUAGCAUAACCCUUCCUUGUUUCUUGUUCGACCAUCCAAGACAUUCAAACCAUUCAUAAAUUGAUUACAAUAUUAACUUCAAAUUUUAAGAGCAUACAUACACAUAACCUUGAAUCACACCAUAAACUACCACCAUCUCCACUUGAAUCGCCACAAGAACCCCACUUUGCGGCCACCCCUUUCGUUUCCGCCACACGUCACCGUCGCGAGCAACUCGUCACCACCGCACCAUUCAGUUACUGUUUUCCACCGCGGCGGGUCGGUUUCUUUCCAAACUAUCAAGGUAUGUGAGAAUGCAUCUCAUUGUGAUGUGGGUUCAUGUAAGUUUUGAGCACGACCCGAAUUGUGGAUUUUUGCUUUGCUUGCUAAACUAAG
rnacentral:lncRNA from 1 species